rnacentral:rRNA from 1 species
ACAGGGCUCUGCGAAGUCGUAAGACGACGUAUAGGGUCUGACGCCUGCCCGGUGCUGGAAGGUUAAAAGGAGGGGUGCAAGCUCCGAAUUGAAGCCCCAGUAAACGGCGGCCGUAACUAUAACGGUCCUAAGGUAGCGAAAUUCCUUGUCGGGUAAGUUCCGACCUGCACGAAUGGCGUAACGACCUCCCCGCUGUCUCAAAUGUGGACUCAGCGAAAUUGAAUUGCCCGUGAAGAUGCGGGCUACCCGCGGUUAGACGGAAAGACCCCAUGCACCUUUACUAUAGCUUCGCACUGGCAACAGGCACGGCAUGCGCAGGAUAGGUGGUAGGCUUUGAAGCCGGGACUCUGGUCUCGGUGGAGCCUCCCUUGAGAUACCACCCUUGCUUUGCUUGUUGUCUAACCGCGGCCCGUUAUCCGGGUCCGGGACCCUGCGUGGUGGGUAGUUUGACUGGGGCGGUCGCCUCCUAAACAGUAACGGAGGCGCGCGAAGGUUGGCUCAGAGCGGUCGGAAAUCGCUCGUUGAGUGCAAUGGCAGAAGCCAGCCUGACUGCAAGACUGACAAGUCGAGCAGAGACGAAAGUCGGCCAUAGUGAUCCGGUGGUCCCAAGUGGGAGGGCCAUCGCUCAACGGAUAAAAGGUACUCUGGGGAUAACAGGCUGAUGAUGCCCAAGAGUCCAUAUCGACGGCAUCGUUUGGCACCUCGAUGUCGGCUCAUCUCAUCCUGGGGCUGGAGCAGGUCCCAAGGGUAUGGCUGUUCGCCAUUUAAAGAGGUACGUGAGCUGGGUUUAGAACGUCGUGAGACAGUUCGGUCCCUAUCUUCCGUGGGUGUAGGAUACUUGAGAGGAGUUGCCCCUAGUACGAGAGGACCGGGGUGAACGAACCACUGGUGGACCAGUUGUCGUGCCAACGGUAGUGCUGGGUAGCUAUGUUCGGACAGGAUAACCGCUGAAGGCAUCUAAGCGGGAAGCCCCC